AACGAACGCUGGCGGCAUGCCUAACACAUGCAAGUCGAACGAGACCUUCGGGUCUAGUGGCGCACGGGUGCGUAACGCGUGGGAACCUGCCCUUAGGUUCGGAAUAACUCCCCGAAAGGGGUGCUAAUACCGGAUAAUGUCUUCGGACCAAAGAUUUAUCGCCUUUGGAUGGGCCCGCGUUGGAUUAGCUAGUUGGUAGGGUAAAAGCCUACUAAGGCGACGAUCCAUAGCUGGUCUGAGAGGAUGAUCAGCCACACUGGGACUGAGACGCGGCCCAGACUCCUACGGGAGGCAGCAGUGGGGAAUAUUGGACAAUGGGCGAAAGCCUGAUCCAGCAAUGCCGCGUGAGUGAUGAAGGCCUUAGGGUUGUAAAGCUCUUUUACCCGGGAUGAUAAUGACGGUACCGGGAGAAUAAGCUCCGGCUAACUCCGUG
rnacentral:rRNA from 1 species